GAUAAACGCUGGCGGCGUGCCUAACACAUGCAAGUCGAACGUCCUCUUCUUUCGAGGAGAGGGAGUGGCGGACGGGUGAGGAACACGUGGAUGACCUACCCCCCGGUGAGGAAUACCGCCGAGAAAUCGGCGACAAGACCGCAUAGGCUUGCCUUUCACACAGAGAGGCAAGCAAAGCUUCUAUUCGCGAGAGUGGAGGC
rnacentral:rRNA from 1 species